rnacentral:rRNA from 1 species
CCUCGGGAGGCAGCAGCCCUACGGGAGGCAGCAGUGGGGAAUCUUGGACAAUGGGGGCAACCCUGAUCCAGCCAUGCCGCGUGAGUGAAGAAGGCCCUAGGGUCGUAAAACUCUUUUGCCUGUGAUGAUAAUGACAGUAGCAGGUAAAGAAACCCCGGCUAACUCCGUGCCAGCAGCCGCGGUAAUACGGAGGGGGUUAGCGUUGUUCGGAAUUACUGGGCGUAAAGCGCGCGUAGGCGGAUUAGAAAGUUGGGGGUGAAAUCCCGGGGCUCAACCCCGGAACUGCCUCCAAAACUGCUAGUCUAGAGUUCGAGAGAGGUGAGUGGAAUUCCGAGUGUAGAGGUGAAAUUCGUAGAUAUUCGGAGGAACACCAGUGGCGAAGGCGGCUCACUGGCUCGAUACUGACGCUGAGGUGCGAAAGUGUGGGGAGCAAACAGGAUUAGAUACCCUGGUAGUCCACACCGUAAACGAUGAAUGCCAGUCGUCGGAUAGUAUACUAUUCGGUGACACACCUAACGGAUUAAGCAUUCCGCCUGGGGAGUACGGUCGCAAGAUUAAAACUCAAAGGAAUUGACGG